CCUACGGGAGGCAGCAGUGGGGAAUAUUGGGCAAUGGACGCAAGUCUGACCCAGCAACGCCGCGUGAAGGAAGAAGGCUUUCGGGUUGUAAACUUCUUUUAAGGGGGAAGAGCAGAAGACGGUACCCCUUGAAUAAGCCACGGCUAACUACGUGCCAGCAGCCGCGGUAAUACGUAGGUGGCAAGCGUUGUCCGGAUUUACUGGGUGUAAAGGGCGUGCAGCCGGAGAGACAAGUCAGAUGUGAAAUCCACGGGCUCAACCCGUGAACUGCCUUUGAAACUGUUUCCCUUGAGUGUCGGAGAGGUAAUCGGAAUGCCUUGUGUAGCGGUGAAAUGCGUAGAUAUAAGGAAGAACACCAGUGGCGAAGGCAGAUUACUGGACGAUAACUGACGGUGAGGCGCGAAAGCGUGGGGAGCAAACAGGAUUAGAUACCCUUGUAGUC
rnacentral:rRNA from 1 species